rnacentral:lncRNA from 1 species
CGGGGGAAGGAGAAGAGGAUGUUGGAAAAGAUGGUCGGAGGUGGUCCCGUUGAGCGCUCCUUUAAGAACAAGGGUACUGCAAAGACACACGCCCCUUCCUCUAGCGCCAAUCCUGUUGGUGCGAAAAUCCGCCUGCGUCGGAGAAGCUGGAGUCGAGGGAGUCGCAGUCACCACCGGGACCUGCAAAAGAAGUCUAAAUCAGAGUUGGGGUUGCUCCGGCAAGACCCUCCGAUGC